AUGUAUAUACACACACACGUGUGUGUGUAUAUAUGUAUACACACACACGUGUGUGUAUAUAUGUAUA
rnacentral:pre_miRNA from 12 species